UGGGGAAUCUUGCACAAUGGGGGCAACCCUGAUGCAGCGACGCCGCGUGAGCGAUGAAGCCCUUCGGGGCGUAAAGCUCUUCCGACCGGAACGAUAAUGACGGUACCGGGAGAAGAAGCUGCGGCUAACUACGUGCCAGCAGCCGCGGUAAUAAGUAGGCAGCAAGCGUUGUUCGGAGUUACUGGGCGUAAAGAGUGCGUAGGCGGUUUUCUAAGUUCGGUGUGAAAUCUCCCGGCUUAACUGGGAGGGUGCGCCGAAGACUGGGAAGCUGGAGUGUGGGAAAGGCAGGCGGAAUUCCUGGUGUAGCGGUGAAAUGCGUAGAUAUCAGGAGGAACACCGGCGGUGUAGACGGCUUGCUAGACCAUAACUGACGCUGAGGCACGAAAGCGUGGGUAGCAAACA
rnacentral:rRNA from 1 species